rnacentral:rRNA from 1 species
UACGGAGGGGGCUAGCGUUGUUCGGAAUUACUGGGCGUAAAGCGCGCGUAGGCGGCUUUGCAAGUCAGAGGUGAAAGCCCGGGGCUCAACCCCGGAAUUGCCUUUGAGACUGCAUCGCUAGAACGUCUGAGAGGUGAGUGGAAUUCCGAGUGUAGAGGUGAAAUUCGUAGAUAUUCGGAAGAACACCAGUGGCGAAGGCGACUCACUGGACGACUGUUGACGCUGAGGUGCGAAAGCGUGGGGAGCAAACAGG